UCCAUCCCAGAACCAUGGCCCAAUUUGUCCGUAACCUUGUGGAGAAGACCCCGGCGCUGGUGAACGCUGCUGUGACUUACUCGAAGCCUCGAUUGGCCACAUUUUGGUACUACGCCAAGGUUGAGCUGGUUCCUCCCACCCCUGCUGAGAUCCCUAGAGCUAUUCAGAGCCUGAAAAAAAUAGUCAAUAGUGCUCAGACUGGUAGCUUCAAACAGCUCACAGUUAAGGUAACCACGGGCUAAAUGAAAACGGAUGUGCAUAACAGAAAAUGUCUUCCCUUGGGAUUUUUCUGAUUGUUUUGAUUAAUAUAUAUGUUUCCAAUGAGGCUGAAUCCAGCAUAAUGAGGAAAAAAAUUUUGACUGCUGAGGAAGAUACUUACUUUUCUAAUUUUGUCACCUGGGUAGAAAUAAUUAGCCCAUUUUAUAUCUUAGUUUCCUAAGAGUCUUAAACCUAGCAAAAAAGUGACCAUUUUUAUUGGGAAAUUUUUUUUCCUUUCCUAUAUUAGAUAGUAUACUAAAAUAUGAUGGCUUGGUUUGCUGAGUCUGUACUUUUUUCAUCUGUAGUCCUGAGAUUGUCCCCAGUUCAGCCAAAACAUCUCUUGAACUAUGUCACAGUCAGGAAGC
rnacentral:sRNA from 1 species